GCUAACAUAUCUUUGGAAAUGAAAGAAAUACAGAAGCUAAUCAUAACGGUCAAAUCCAACCACAUAUCAAGCUUAGAUUACAGUUUACAACCCUCUAUGACAAAUCCUUAGAUUAGUAUAUUACAAAUCCAAAUAUAACUUGUAUCAUCAAGCCUCUAGAGUUAAGAUGAAUAGGGAAGAACAAACCAAAUACACAAAUAUAUAUACAUAUACACAAAGUUUUAUAUGAUUAAUUUAGGGUAUGAUUCAAAGAAUGUAUAAAGUUUUAUAUAAUUUAGCUAAGAGUUAAAAAAGAAUUGGUGUGUUCUGUUGUAUUUCGAGACUGUUCAAGAUUGUUUUUUUCUUCCGACCCUAGGUUCGAUCGGCGGCUAUCUUUCCGAUCGGCAGCUCUCCCACUUACUGAGACUACUUGACUAUGUCGAACUUCCAUCUUCACUAUCGUCUCUUUUCAGUCACUCUUUAUCUUCUUCUUCUUCUACUCUCAUUUCCUCUCUCUUUCAGCCAAUCACAGUACGUUGAUGAUGAACCCGAUCAAGAUUCUCCGGUCUCUCGCUUUCAACGCUACCUCAGAAUCAAAACCGCUCAUCCAGAUCCCGAUUACGCCUCAGCUGUCGCCUUCCUCAGAUCUCAAGCACAAGAAAUCGGUCUCCAUACGCAGAUACUCGAGUUCGUUACAGGUAAGCCUCUUCUUCUUGUGACCUGGUAUGGAUUAGACCCUUCUUUGCCUUCGAUUUUACUCAACUCUCAUAUGGACUCUGUCCCCGCCGAGCCUUCUAAGUGGGUUCAUCCUCCAUUCUCCGCUGUCCGAACCUCUGAUGGUAAAAUCUUCGCCCGUGGUUCUCAAGAUGACAAGUGUAUCGCCAUCCAGUAUUUGGAAGCCAUUCGGAAUCUCAGAAAUCGGGAUUUCGUCCCUGUUCGUACGAUUCAUAUCUCGUAUGUACCGGAUGAGGAGAUUGGGGGUUCCGAUGGAGCUGCGAAGUUCGUUCAGUCGAAGGAGUUCAAGGAGUUGAAUGUGGGGUUUAUGAUGGAUGAAGGACAAGCUUCACCGGGAGAUGAGUUUAGGGUUUUUUACGCCGAUAGAUCGCCAUGGUCGUUGAUAAUCAAGGCUAAAGGAAGCCCUGGCCAUGGAUCUAGAAUGUACGAUAACAGCGCAAUGGAGAAUUUGAUGAAGAGCGUUGAGAUUAUGACUAGAUUCAGAGAGAGCCAAUUUGAAAUAGUUAAAGCAGGUGAAGCUGCUAAUUCAGAAGUCAUCUCUGUGAAUCCUGUUUUUGUCAAUGCCGGAACUCCUUCCCCCACAGGAUUUGUGAUGAACAUGCAACCGUCAGAGGCGGAGGCUGGGUUUGAUCUCAGAUUACCGCCGACCGCCGACCCAGAUGCUAUGAGAAGAAGAAUAGCUGAGGAAUGGGCUCCGGCACGGCGGAACAUGACUUAUCAGAUACUUGAGAAAGGGCCCAUAAGAGAUUACUUGGGAAGUCCAUUAAUGACGAUGACAAAUGCUUCAAAUCCAUGGUGGGCUGUUUUCAAGGCAGCCAUUUCCGACGCUGGAGGGAAGCUUUCUAAGCCCGAAAUCUUGGCUACAACUACGGAUGCUCGAUUCAUGAGACAGAUGAGGAUUCCUGUUCUUGGUUUCUCUCCAAUGAUUAACACUCCAAUCUUAUUGCAUGAUCACAAUGAGUUCUUGAGUGAUUCUGUGUUCAUAAGGGGAAUCAAGGUUUAUGAAUCCUUAAUCAGUGCUUUGAGUUCCUUCCAAGAGGAUGUUUCUUCCCAAUAAUAAGCAUUGCUCAUCCUUCAGAAUUCUCAUGGGAAUCAACACUGUAAAGUAUCCAUUCAGAAGGACAAUCUCAAAGGCAUAGCUUUAUGCAAAAGUAAGCUUUCUUCCCAACCCGACCCAAUUCACUGUUCGUGUCUAUUUGGUCUUUAAACUUUAAAUAGUUGUUUAGAAUGCUUUUCAUUUCAUGGGUCUUCGGAUACUUUCACGGAAAAAGAGUCGUAUAAAUGAUAAAUCUCAAUGAUAUAUGAAACUUUGUACCAUAUUUUCAUUGAGUUUGAGUUUAUAUUGUUGAAUAAGACUGUUAUGGUUGAGGAACUUAAAUACUCCUCCACCCAUCAUUGUUAUGGAGAAUCAAACCUUGAAGUUUCUUUUGA